GGGGCCGAGGGCUCCUUCCCUUCCUGAGGAGCCCUGGCGAUGGAGAGCCAGCGCUGCUUCCCCAACCGCUUCGCCGACUACAAGGGCAGCCUCUUGGCCGGACAGGGCCAGGAGGCGGUGGCGCCCUUGGUCCAGGCCACCAUCGCCCGCAUCCUCCGGGAGGUGCCCGGCUUAGAGCCGGAGCCGGAGGGGUCGCCCUCUGGCCGGGGCCUGGGCGAGGAGGGGGGCCUGUACGGGGGCCCUGCGGGGGUGGCCUACAUGCUCUUCCACGUGGCCCAGUGCCCGCUCUUCGCCCCCGAGAGGGAGGCCUACCUGGGGGCGGCCAAGAGGCUGGUGGAGGCCUCCCUCCGGCGCCAGGAGCAGCAAGAGGGCCAGGAGGAGGCCGAGCAGGAGGAGGCCAGGGCCACCCGGGCGGCCUUCCUCCUAGGCGGGGCCGGCCUCUACACGGCGGCCGCCCUGGUCUACCACGCCCUGGGCCUCCGAGACCAGUGCCGCCGCGCCCUCGAGCGCCUCCGACGCCUCUGCCCCCCCUGCGCCCCCGACGCCUGCCUCCCGGGAGGAUCCGACGAGCUCUUCGCCGGCAGAGCCGGCUACCUCUGCGCCGCCCUCCUCCUCAAGCAGAAGCUGGGACUCCAGGUACUGACUGCAACACAAAUCAAGUCAAUUUGUCAUGCAAUGUUAGAAUCCGGGAAACAGUAUGCAUUGAGGAAGAGGAAGCCAGUUCCCCUCAUGUACUCUUACUAUGGAACAGAAUAUCUUGGGGCUGCUCAUGGACUUUCAUCCAUCUUACAGAUGCUGCUCUCCUAUUAUGAAUACCUCCCAACCACUGAUCAGGAACUAGUAUGGCAGAGUGUUGACUUUCUCAUGGAUCAAGAGCAGGAUUGCAACUGGCCUCCAGAACUAGGAGAGAUGAUUGAGCGGGAAAAUGAACUUGUACACUGGUGUCAUGGAGCUCCAGGCAUUGCAUAUAUGUUUGCAAAGGCAUACUUAGUUUCAAAGAAGCCCCAGUAUCUAGAUAGUUGUAUUCGCUGUGGAGAACUAACUUGGCAGAAGGGACUACUGAAGAAAGGACCUGGGAUAUGUCAUGGAGUGGCUGGCAGUGCUUAUGUGUUCCUGCUCCUCUACAGACUUACAGGAAAUUCUAAAUACAUAUACAGAGCGCAAAGGUUAGUACUAGUAGUUAUUAAAAAAACAGCAUGUGAAGUACAUAGCAUAUUACAGGAAAAUUCCAAUUGCAGAGCAAAAAGCUUAGUAUUAUGGCAGACUUAACUAAUACUAAUACUGGCCCAGUCCAGAUGGGCCAAAUGCGCCAUGCUGGCGGCGUACUAGGCAACUGCACGGUCCCUAACCCUAAUACGGCACGGCGCCAUAACAAUGGCGGCGCCCCGUGUAUACGGGUGCCAGCAUUGUGACGUGAUGGACACAUAGUGUCCGCACAUCACGCCAUGCCGGUUACAUCAUGUGAGCCAUUGGCGCACUCGGGUGUAACUGUCACGACACAAAACGAACCUGCUUUUCGUGGAUUCUUUUUUCUCCGCAGGGAAGCCGUACGGUUUGGUGGCUGAGGCUUCCCUGCGGGGGGAAAGACGCCGGCAGGCCUCCCUUUUUGGGAGGUCUGUAGCGGGCCAUAAUCACUACCUAAAAAUCAAGUACUUGUUUAAACCAGCCUCAGAACAUCCUGCAGAAAUACUUCUGAAUUUUGUAUUUAUGAUUUCUUUUGGUAACCAGAUAUGAAAAUGAACUGUUGAUAUUUGUUAGGCUACUUUAUGAAGCAUCUAGCUUUGUUUUUCCUUUUUUACUCUCUUGAUUCAUCAGGAAGAAGAAGACGAGAAAGCCAGUCAGUUCAUAAAAUAAAAAUACUACAAAUUAACUUGUUUAUAUUUUCCCUCUUGUAGCAAAAAUUAUUCAGUUACCUACGACUGCAGCCACUUGCGAAUAUUUUAUUCACACUCCUUAUACAACAUCCAAUUUAUUAUAUUUCUGAGGAAGUUUAAAAUUGAAAAAUAGAUACUGAGUCAUUUGUGGAAUUAUGGAUGCCCAAUAAAUUGUGUCAAAUAGAAUUUGAAAAGGAACCAAAGACCUAGUUUUGAUGGGAAGCUUGCCAUGUAGAACCAAGAUAGAGUCCAGUAAGAAAUGGAGCCAUGAAGAACUAAAGCCAGUAAUGUAAGAUGGAGAAAACCUGGGACCAGACCCGGAAAAGUCGCAAUAAUAUGUAUGGUUUGCUGAAUUUUUGUUUACUGAAGAAUUCAAGGCUGGAUCCAAAGAACUGGAAAGUUUUUAUAGCCUUUUUGAAGGUUUCUCAGG